AUUUAUUAUACUUACAGCUGUUUGGUCCAAAUGUCCAACUUCGCCACUGUGUGAUUGCUCAUACACAGAGAAUAGUUACAGUUACUCCUAGCAGUAGAGAUGCAGAAACUUAUGUGAAUGGUAUGAGAAUAUAUGAAACAACUACAUUACAGAAUGGAAUGGUUGUAUGGUUUGGAAAACUGCAUAAUUUUCGAUUUGUUGACCCACUUCAUGACCCGAAACAUGGUAUGAUACCGGACCCUUGACAGCAUCCUGAAUUUAUAGAAAGAAGUCGAGGGGAAGACCAGGUGUCCCUUCAUCAUCAUGGUAGCUAUGAAACUACAUUUGAUGCAGAUGGCAAUGUAGAAACAGUAUCCACACAUUCCAGAGAGGAGCGUCUUUCCAAAAAGUCUGAUGAUGCUCUUUCUCAUAGGUCAUUAGGUCGUGAAAGUACACAUGGACGCAGUAGUGAGAGAUAUGACCAGAAGAGGGGCAAUGAUCCUAUUCUUCCAGCUGUUUUAGAAUUCUGGGAAGAUGCUGAAGAAGCUUUUCUAGCUGCAUCAAUUACUCAGCUAGAUCCUAGUCAAGUGCAAUUUAAACUGUCACCAACAUAUACUCUGUAUAUGGCUGCUCGAUAUCGUGCCUCUACACAUUUUAGGCCCGAAACUACCCCAAAUGUUCGUGCUCAUAGGCUGACAGCUUUAAUGAACAAUGUAGCAGCUGUAAUGCAUCAAGUUAUACAGGUAAUAGAUUUUAUUAGUUUCUUGAAUAUUUAA